rnacentral:rRNA from 1 species
CGAACGGGUGNGUAAUGCGUGACCAACCUGCCCCAUGCUCCAGAAUAGCUCUUGGAAACGGGUGGUAAUGCUGGAUGCUCCAACUUGACGCAUGUCUUGUUGGGAAAGUGUUUAGUGGCAUGGGAUGGGGUCGCGUCCUAUCAGCUUGUAGGCGGGGUAAUGGCCCACCUAGGCUUCGACGGGUAGCCGGCCUGAGAGGGCGGACGGCCACAUUGGGACUGAGAUACGGCCCAGACUCCUACGGGAGGCAGCAGCC